rnacentral:rRNA from 1 species
AGCAUAUCAAUAAGCGGAGGAAAAGAAACCAACAGGGAUUGCCUCAGUAACGGCGAGUGAAGCGGCAACAGCUCAAAUUUGAAAUCUGGCCCUCUCAGGGUCCGAGUUGUAAUUUGGAGAAGAUGCUUCGGGUGUGGCCCCGGUCUAAGUUCCUUGGAACAGGACGUCACAGAGGGUGAGAAUCCCGUACGUGACCGGUGGCCUCCCCCGUGUGAGGCUCUUUCGACGAGUCGAGUUGUUUGGGAAUGCAGCUCAAAAUGGGUGGUAAAUUUCAUCUAAAGCUAAAUAUUGGCCAGAGACCGAUAGCGCACAAGUAGAGUGAUCGAAAGAUGAAAAGCACUUUGGAAAGAGAGUUAAACAGUACGUGAAAUUGUUGAAAGGGAAGCGCUUGCAACCAGACUUGCGCGCGGCCGAUCAUCUGGUGUUCUCACCGGUGCACUCGGUCGUGCUCAGGCCAGCAUCGGUUUAGGUGGUUGCAUAAAGGCCUCGGGAAUGUGGCUCUCUUCGGGGAGUGUUAUAGCCCGAGGUGCAAUGCAGCCCACCUGGGCCGAGGACCGCGCUCCGGCUAGGAUGCUGGCGUAAUGGUUGUAAGCGACCCGU